rnacentral:rRNA from 1 species
UACGGAGGGGGCUAGCGUUGUUCGGAAUUACUGGGCGUAAAGCGCACGUAGGCGGCUUUGUAAGUUAGAGGUGAAAACCCAGGGCUCAACCCUGGAAUUGCCUUUAAGACUGCAUCGCUUGAACAUCGGAGAGGUAAGUGGAAUUCCGAGUGUAGAGGUGAAAUUCGUAGAUAUUCGGAAGAACACCAGUGGCGAAGGCGACUUACUGGACGAUUGUUGACGCUGAGGUGCGAAAGCGUGGGGAGCAAACAGG